GUUUUGCUUGAAGGAAGAAAGGAGCACAAAUUUUGAGUGUGAAGGGGACUGGAUCUGAGCUAAUCAUCUCGUGAUAUCAUCUUCGAGGUAUAAUCCUUUCCAUUUCGUGUUAUAUUGAUGGACUUCUUGAUUUUAGGGAUUUUACCCUCAUUUUAUGGAAGAUUUGGUGAGUAUGAGGUCCUCUUUGGGAUUAUGACAUCAGAUCUAGACCAUGAGAGGUCCCUAGAGUCAUUACCUUCUAGCUUUUUGCAAGCAAAUAAGCAAUUGGAGACUAGGUUGCCAUUUCUUGUGUUAUUUCUCCAUUUGAGGCUUGAAUUGGGUUGCAUGCACGUAAAUCUUGCACCUUUACGUGACUUUUGAGUGUUUAAGGGUUAGAUCUAUGAUUUGGCUAAACAAAUCUGACCUCAGGAGGUUGAAUAAGCAAUUCCAUGGAGGAAACUCGUCGAGUCCAUAUGUAGACUCGACAAGUUGGACUGGGUUGCCCCGGGGUCUGACUCCAGUGGUGAUCCGGUGAGUUGAGGGGUAACUCAGUGAGUCGAGUGAGGCUCAGAAAGGGAAGAGUUUGUGGGGACGAUGGGACUCGCUGAGUCAUCAUAUGCACUCGGCGAGUCUGGUCAAACUGGACAGUUGACUUUUAGGGCUUUGUCAACCAAUGGGCCUUGGGCCUGUAGAGGGGUAGAAUGGUCUUUUACCCUUCUAGGGAUUUUCAUGAGAGAAUAUCCAAAUUGUGAAGAGACAUUUAUUUAGUGAAAUUUAUUAUUGUGAAUAGGUGGAGGCUGGGGCAAUAUUCUAAUAUCGAGAUAUUACCAACAUUCCCAAGGUGAGUCUUCUCACUAUAUUUUACCUAGAGUGGUAAUCAGAGCUAUGUGACGGUGUAUCUUGUAUGCUAUUUAUGUGUUGUGAUUAUAUGUGAUAUGUGAUAUGCAUGAUUCAGGGUUUACAAAGUUAGGACCAGUGGGUCCAUAGAGUUAUGGGACCCAGAGGGUCCCACAGAGAUAUUCGACCAGAGGGUCAUCAGAGUUACAGCCUCGAGUGGCUGAUAUGUGUUUAUGUGGUAUUUUGGGGAACUCACUAAGAAUUUAUGCUUACAGAGUUUUGUGUAUAUGGUUCAGGUACUAGUGAUGAUCGCGGGAAGGCGCCGGCAUGAUCUGUACACACUCAUGGAGCUUUUGUUAUAUGAUUCUGGGAUAUGUUGUUUUAUGAUGACAGUAGAUACACUAUGUUUACUAUUAUUUUAUGAACGAAAUUAUGUUUUAAAAUUGUGAAAAUUUUUCUUGAAAAAUUGGGUGUUACAAGUUGGUAUCAGAGCCUUGGUUUGAGGGAUUCGGGUGCACCUUCGGGCAUAAAUGAACUCAAACUAAGGAUUUGAGGGAUUUUAGAAAUAAAAUUCACAAAAUUUUUCUCAAGAGUAAGAAGUUUUUGAAAGAGCAGAGUAGAGCAGUGUGUACGAUCAGCCAGUGCCCAAACGGUGAUUUCCCAAGAUACCCUUACAUUAUGAGUUAUGGGAUACCUUAUGAUAUAAUAUGCAUGCUAGAGUAGGCUAGGUAUUCUUAUUAGGACUAGAGUGGCCUGAUUUGUGAUGCCUUAGCCUAGGGAUUUUGCUGCUAGGAGAUGCUUGAGAGUGAAUAGAUAGCAGCAAGGAGCUUAUGAGGGAUCUGCUAGGGAGUAGACUUUGUAUAGAGAGAGUAGAGUACUCGAGACUUGGGAUCCAAGGAGGAGGACUUGAGGUGCAUAUUUAUGCGGUGUGGACGGUAGUAUUGGGCCCGUACUACCGAAGACACCGGAUUAGUGCGCAUCCCAAGUAAGAAUCCUUAGGGUACCAGGGAUCAAGUAGGAAUGGGAUAUCGAGUGUGUGUACACUCGAGCGAGUCUCUGAUAUCUUGUGUUGUAAUUCAGAGAGACAUCAUGGUUGGGACACGCCACAUGCUAGGGACUAGCGAGGGGGGUGUGAGCGAUAAGGAGCUCCGCCAGAUGAUUCAUGAUGAGGUGGCUACGGCCAUCCGCGCUGAGAUUCCAGAGAUGUUCGGGUCUAUCAAGACCACACUGAUUGAGACUUUUGAUGAGCGAUAUGCUGCUCUUACUGAUGCUGUUGUUGCUGCAGCCACUGCAGCCGUUGCUGCUACCAGGCCGUAGGGGGUGACGCAUUGUUGUACCGGGAGUUCAGCAACACGAAGCCACCAGAGUUUGAUGGGACUCAGGAUCCUAUAACCACGAUGAGGUGGAUCUCUAACAUUGAGGGGUGUUUCUACACAUGUUCAUGUCUAGAGCAUCUGAGAGUUCAGUUCGCGCUGAACCAGCUUCGCUUGGGGGCGAAGGACUGGUGGAAGUUUGUGACAGCGCACUAUUCUUCUGUAGAGCUUGCUGCGGUGACCUAGGAGAGGUUCAUCGCUAUGUUUCGUGAUGAGUACGUUCCCCCAGUGGAAAGGGAGCAUUUGGACCAGGAGUUUUUGACCCUCAAGCAGGGUAUUAAGUCUGUUACUGUGAUCACCAGGAUGUUUCAUGAGAGGGUGAUGUUCUGCCCUGAGCACGUGUCUUCCGAGCAGGCACGUAUGAGUCGGUAUUUGAGUGUUUUGAGGAGAGACAUCCACGAUUUUGUGGCGAACUGGACAUACCGGACAUUUUUCGAGCUUCAGGCAAAUGCCCGGAAGAGAGAGAUUGAGCUAGAGACUCAGGCCAGGGAGGAAGCGGAGUCUCAGGGGAGGGAUCGGCGACCGGCACAGUCCAGUCGGCUGNAGUCCCAGUCGGCUGCCAAGCGGGCUAAGCCCGCGGAUUCGAGAUCAGGGAACCAGAAGGGCCGUACUUGUGGCAAGUGCAGCAAGAGUCAUGAGGGGGUAUGGAGAGCAGGGUCUUGCUACAAGUGUGGCAAGGAGGGGCACAUGGCCAAGGACUGCCCCAAGGGGUUUGCAGUUUGUUUUCACUGUAACCAGACUGGACACCAGAAGGCCAAGUGUCCGCAGUUAUGAGGGUCAGCUCAGGGAGCUUCUCGGGGAUCUGUCCCUGCUGCUACUUGAGCUACGGAGAGUCGGUCGGUGAAGGUCGAGGCGCCGAAGGUUCACCGGAGAGCCUUCCAGUUGACAGCGGAGGAGGUCCGUGCAGCACCCGAUGUUGUGGCUGGUAUGUAUUCUUUCAUAUGUUUAUUUUGAGUUUGUGGUGUUAUGAUUAUAUUGUGAUAUGCGUAGGUACAUUUCUUGUGUGUUUUGUACCAGCUUUGGUGUUAUUUGACUCGGGUGCGAGUCGGUCUUUUGUGUCGUUAGCCUUUAGUCAGCACAUCAGUAUUCGUCGAGAGGCGUUGAGUCGACCUUUGCGAGUUUCCAUAGCUGAAGAGAGAUCAGUGUAUGGCACUGAUGUGAUUCGAGGAUGUGUGCUCCAGAUCUUCGGUGUUGGGUAUCCGAUUAAUUUGGUCCCGAUUGCUAUGGGAGAUGUCUGUGUCAUCGUGGGCAUGGACUGGUUGAGCAGAGUUGGAGCGGUUAUCGACUGCGAGCGAAAGCUGGUGACUAUAAGAGACCCUAGUGGGGGAGUUCUUUCGGUUUAUGGCGAGGGUACCCUGGGUCGGCAUUUUGUUCAGCCGCGAGAGCGAGGCAGAGUCUACAGCAAGGUUGUAGUGGCUUUGUGGCUUAUGUGGUGGAUACGAGGGUAGGUACAGAGAGAUCGAGGUCGGUCGAUGAGGUGCCAAUAGUGCGUGAGUUCCCGGAUGUUUUCCCGAGGAGUUGUCGGGUGUGCCUCCCGAGAGGCAGGUGGAGUUCCGUAUCGAUUUGGUUUCGGGGGCAGCGCCCUAUCGCCUUGCACCUCCAGAGAUGCAGGAGUUAUCCUCGCAGCUUUUGGAGCUGCAGGGAAAGGCGUUUAUACGGCCGAGUAGCUCGCUGUGGGGAGUGCCGAUCCUUUUUGUCAAGAAAUAGGAUGGUUCACAACGGAUGUGCAUUGAUUAUCGAGUCCUGAACGUUGUCUUGAGGUUCCCCAGUGGAAGUAGGAACAGAUUUCCAUGGAUUUUAUCACCAAAUUGCCAAGGACUGCGAGAGGCGUCGAUACAAUUUGGGUGAUCGUCGACCGGCUGACAAAGAGCGCUCAUUUUCUUGCUAUCAGCGAUAGCUCUUCCACGAAGAGGCUGGCAGAAGUGUACGUGAAGGAGGUGGUAUCGCGACAUGGUGUACCGAUCUCGAUUGUGUCAGAUCGAGAUGUGUGUUUCACUUCUAGAUUCUGGAAGAAGUUCCAUGAGGAGUUGGGUACUAGGCUGCAUUUUAGUACAGCUUACCACCCACAGAUGGACGGACAGAGUAAGCGGACGAUUCAGACGCUCGAGGACAUGCUUCGGGCAUGUGUGUUGGACUUCAGAGGGAUUUGGGACUCGUAUCUGCCUUUGGCUGAGUUUUCCUAUAACAACAGCCACCAUUCGAGCAUUGGUAUGCCUCCUUUCGAGUUUUUGUAUGGGAGGAAGUGUCGAACUCCCAUCUGUUGGGGAGAGGUAGGACAACGAGUGAUGGGUAGCACGGAGAUAGUGCUUCGGACGACUGAGCAGAUACAACAGGUCAGGAAGGGGUUGCUGACGGCUCAGAGUCGUCAGAAGAGCUACGCGGAUAGGCGUCGCUCAGAGCUCGACUUCCAGGUGGGUGAUUUCGUUCUCCUGAAGGUGUCACCUUGGAAAUGUGUGAUCCGGUUUAGGAAGUGAGUCAAGUUGGGGCCUCGGUAUAUUGGUCCAUUCCGGGUGAUUGUGAGGGUAGGCAGGGUAGCGUAUCUUUUGGAGUUACCUACGGAGGUGAGUCAGAUUCAUGAUACCUUCCACGUGUCUCAGUUGAGGAAGUGUAUUGCAGAUGAAUUGGUGGUGGUACCGUUAGAGGAUAUUCAGGUGGAUGCAAGCCUGAAUUAUGUUGAAAGGCCAAUUGCGAUUCGGGAUCGGAGAAUCAAGUUUUUGAGAAACAAGGAGGUGUCCUUAGUGCAGGUUUAGUGGCAGCAUCGGAAGGGGUCCGAGCUGACAUCGGAACCAGAGACUGAGAUGCGUGAGCAAUAUCCAAAGAUAUUUGCAGAGUGAGACCUCGAGGGCGAAGUAUGAUUCUAGUGGGGGAGAAUUGUAACAUCCUGAGUUUGGGUAUGUCAAUUUAAUUAAUUAUUUAUUGUUUUAUUGAGGAACUCGACGAGUUGAUGCCUUAACUCGUCGAGUGGAGUCUGAUCUAUUGGCACAUUUUCGCGAAUGGAAUCGACGAGUCGGGACCUGACUCGCCGAGUCGGUGCUGAUUAGGAAAACCUUAAUCCCCAUGUUUGGGAGCCUAUUUAAAGACCUUUAUGGCCUUCAUUUGCGGCCACCUUGUUCCAGAGAAACCCUAGAGAGCUGAGAUAGUGAGUUUGAGGGUAAGAGGAGGCCAUUUCUUCAUCUUUUUGUGUGGUUUUGCUUGAAGGAAGAGAGGAGCACAAAUCUAGAGUGUGAAGGGGACUGGAUCUGAGCUAAUCAUCUCGUGAUAUCAUCUUUGGAGGUAUAAUCCUUUCCAUUUCGUGUUAUAUUGAUGGACUUCUUGAUUUUAGGGUUUUUACCCUCAUUUUAUGGAAGAUCUGGUGAGUAUGAGGUCCUCUUUGGGAUUCUGACAUCAGAUAUGGACCAUGAGAGGUCCCUAGAGUCAUUACCUUCUAGCUUUUUGCAAGCAAAUAAGAAAUUGGAGACUAGGUUGCCAUUUCUUGUGUUAUUUCUCCAUUUGAGGCUUGAAUUGGGUUGCAUGCACGUAAAGGUUGCACCUUUACGUGACUUUUGAGUGUUUAAAGGUUAGAUCUAUGAUUUGGCUAAGCAGAUCUGACCUCAGGAGGUUGAAACUCACCGAGCCCAUAUGUAGACUCGACGAGUCAGACUGGGUUUGCCCCGGGGUUUGACUCCAGUGGUGAUCCGGUGAGUUGAGGGGUGACUCAGUGAGUCGAGUGAGGCUUAG
rnacentral:lncRNA from 1 species